AUGAGAGGAAGGUUGGAAAAGUCUAGAGCUUUAGAUCCUGGUACCACUUCUGCAGGUCAAGCUUCUCUGUGUUAAGAGCAAGAAGAACCAGGAGGAAAAGCCUCAAGAGAAGUCAUCCCGGACCCAGUACCAAUAAAAACAGAUGGUUGGGCUGAUCCAACGCUGGAGAGUGGAAAUGCAGGUGCUUCAGGUCCCGAUUUGGAUGCUGGAUCACGUGGUCAGCCCAUCCUCAGCCAGGUCUGAGUGACUGGGGAUUAUGGCCUCCCAGGGAUGUCACUUCACUGUGGCUUCCAGGCCUGGUGAUCUGGAAAGAGUAAGUCCUGGCUCUCAACCUGCAUCACUCCUGUGGGUCCCACCCAGGGAAAUGGAGACUUCUGGAAGUGUCCAGUGCCUGCAGUUAUGAGGUCUGAAGAGAAUG